UCAACAUGCAUUUGUCGGGAAGAUUUCAAAUAACUCCUAAGCAAUUCAAUUAAUACAGUGUUCACGUGCUCGCUAUAUACAGAGACAUAUUGUUUGUUUGAGAUAUAAUAACAAGACCACAGGUCGUGAUAGAAGUCUCUGCUGGUACCUUUUCGGAACUUUUGCGAUACGCUAGCAGUGUCUUACGAAAGAUUUAAACCAAUUUCAGUCAACUUAAGACCAGUGUUGCAAAUAAAGACUGAAAAUUCUUAUUAAAAUAAUAUUUUAUUUAACCCCAAAUGAAGGAAUGAAAUUAAAAAAAUGCUGAAUUUUUAAAUUAAUUCCAUAAAUUUUAAUAUUUUUUUUAUUUGGUAACCCCGAAAAUCUUCUUUGAAAUUUAUUUAUGAUCUGAAAUAUCGGAUUUAAGAAAUGUUAAUAACAAGGUUAUAACUAAAAAUUAAAAAUCCUACCAUUUUGAUUAUUUGUUGAAAAGAAAAGCUGUGUUUUAAGGGAUCGUCUUGGUGUAAAAUUUUCGAAAAAUCGAUUUUUUUUGCUGAAUUAUCGGAUAGUAUACGCUGUAGUAAACAUUCUCUCAAUUUCUUGUAGAAAGGGAACAGAGUGAUAGCGACUCCAAUCUUUAAAUGCGUUUUUCUCAGAAUGUUGUUUUUCAAAACGGUUUCCACUCUCAAAGGAAGAGUUUUGAAGAUAUCUACUUCCAAUUUGUAGAGAACAUUUUUAACGUUAUCCUCUAUCGCGCUUUGGAAGCUCAAUUUCAAUUUAAAUUUCUAUCAAAUCAAUUUUCGGAAUUAAAAAUAAAAUUUCUCCAAAGUCGGAAUUAAAAAUUUAAAAAAUUUCAAGAUUUUUGAUCGAAAAAUUCACACUAAGAUAAGCAUUACAGAGUGUACAUAUUCGAAAUUUCGUCCCAGUUGGAGGCCCAGACAGAUAACAUGAAAAGCCCAGAGCGCACGUAGUACACUCGAUAGAAUCUUGUGUAAUUGGCAAGCAAGUUGGCCUCACGAUUGUUGUCCCAUUUGUUGGAUCGCAGCAUGUCUGAUUUUGCUACAAAAAUUUUAAGUCCAUAUUGGGCGCAUAAUGAGCUUAAUGAUCAAUACUUUAAAACCAAUGAACACAGUGCCACUUUGCAGCGCUAGAUAUACUGAAAACUCUACGAAGAACUGUAUAUGAGUUCGAGUUGUCUUUAUACCCUAUUCAACAAGCAAUAUGUUACAUAGAUAUUUCAAAGAAUUCAGCCAAAUAUAUGAUAUUUAUUAUGGUGCAAUAUGGCUUAUAGUAUGUUACUAACAACAACAUUCUAAUGAUGCUAGUGCAACCUCGUUUAGAACAUAACAUUCAAGAAAUUAUUCCCGACUGUACAUGCAUUAAAUUACGACUCCCAUUGAGAGUAAAAAAAGAAUUAAGCAGCAAACUUCGUUAAAGGUAGAUAUCAAUAUUACAAACUCAAUUUCCACUAAGAAGAAAAAGUCACACGGCACCAUGCCUGGCGAAUAUGGACGCUGUGGCAUCGUUACAGUAGCGUUUUUGGCCAAUAAUUCACGAACAUGCGAGGGAGUGUGAGCUUUCACCACACUAAAAUCGCCAAACUCAUAAAAACAAGUCUAAGCUUAGCGGCUGCCACAGAAAAAAGGAGCAAUGGGGCAUAUAAGUAAAUUUUGGCAAUUGGACUCCCAAAUAGAAUAUACAAUGUCUAUUAAUAUGAUUCACCUAAUAUUUAUGACACUAAUCCUGCACUCUUUUAAGGAGGAGAUAAAAAUUUUGAAAAAUCAUUUUUUUUUUUUUCAUAAAAUGUUAGUAUGGUUCUUUAAGCACAUGAAACAAAAUUUUGGAAAGUGAUUUCAAUUAUUUCGUUGCAUUGGCAGCUAAUGACUAGUUUUUCACAUACUUACAUAGAUGUAGUCAAUAUCAAUCAACCUGAGCAGCUGUGUUUAAUGUCCGUAUAUCUGUCGAAUUCACGACGAACAUGUAAAUUUAUUUAAACCUGCUAUACACCUACAAAACCCUGAUACACUUGCUUGGCCAAGUAGAUCGACAACCACAAAACAGUUGCUUUACCUAAUAGGGUUAAAAUAAUUAUUUCAUCUAGGUUCAUCUAAGCAAGAAUUCAUGAAAAAUAUAUCUUAUGGCACACUACAUGCAUUUCAGAGUGGAUAUCGAUAAAUAUCUUUAAAACUAGAGACUCGAGCCCUCAAUGCCAUCAAUUAAACAUUCGGCUUCAAAUUGCACUAGUAAAGCUUUUUUGAAAAGAAGUUUAGUUUAGAAUAUUUAAUAGCGGCUGAUCCAAGUAUAAGAACUAUUUUUAAUAGCCUUUUUUUGACAGAUCACGCGUGAGUCGUAUCAAGCCGUUAAAAUAUUUUUAUUCAGCAUUGUUUGGCAUUUCAUCAUGGAAAGACUUACGCCUGAACACCGUUUAAAAAUCGUUCAACUGUAUUAUAAAAAUUCACGUUCUGUAAAGAAAGUGUGCGCGCUUCGCUCAACUUAUGGUCAACAGGAUCAGCCUACUGGGCGUACUAAACGCACCACCAUCACCCAGCUUGAAACCCAGCAUGAAACCCAGCAUUCAUUAUUGGAUAAUAUUCCACCGAAUAGACUACGUCCAGCACGUAGUGAAGAAAAUACAGCAGCUGUAGCUAAGAGUGUACACGAAGAGAAUGGAGAGUCGAUUCGGCAUUGUUCGCAGCAACUUGAACUGACAUAUGGAACGACUUGGCGCAUUUUAUGUCGAAAUCUUAAGUUGAAAGCGUACAAAAUACAGCUUGUGCAAGAACUGAAGCCGCUCGACCUUCUCAAGCGACAGCGCUUCGCUCUAUAGGUUCUUGAAAAGUUCUAAGAGGAUCCGACGUUUUCGAGCCAAAUUAUGUUUUUUCUCUGUGGGGAUAUGUCAAAUCUGAAGUCUAUACGAACAACAGCGCUUCGAGUCAGGCCUUGGAGCGAUACAUCACGCGUGGACUCAACGGAAGGACCAUCUGAGACGUAGCCACGGCCAACAUUUGAAAGAGAUAAUCUUCAAGGUAUAAAUGCCAAAGAAUGUUCUUAUGAUGACAAUGAAUGACAAUAAGCAUUCGCCAUUAAAUUUGAAGUUUAUGCGCUUCUUCUUGAAAAAAGUAUUAAACCUCGAAAUCGAUCACCCUUUAGUUGUGUGCAACAAAAUCGUGGUUUAAAUUCUCUUCACUGAGUUAUUUAUCAAAAACAUAAGUGGAUAAAGAAAAUAUUUGGAACUCUCCUUUUAUUUCAUCACCUUUUUGGACAGAUAGUUAAAUAAUUCAGCUGUAAGUAUGACAUAGUAUAUACACAUCAAGUCUUCACACGAUCGACCAUUGGUGAAUAUCAACAAUAAUGGCCACAAACUGUAGUCCAAUAGAUUCAAAACUGAACUUGCAGACAACAACAGUCAACUGAGGCUAUAAAACCAGAGAUUUUGCUUUAAAACCUUUGCUGGGUGGUGGUUUUACCUUCAAUGCUCUCCAACGAACAGAGUGUUACUAACUGCUUUAAAACGACUUCUAAACACUUUGCUGUUACAUGUUUCUCCCUUUUCCAGUUGUAGUUGUAGACUAAAUAACAAAACAUAUGGCAAGACUAAGUUUCGGGACGAUGGACAUAGGAACCGAUUUUAGCCAUGCCAACUUAAUUUAAUUGAACUACCGCACAAAUUAAUCGUCAUUCUUGGUAUAAAGUAGCAUUUGACCGUUUGAUGCCCUGCACUUUGCCAAAAUCAUACUGCUUAAAUAGCAUUUUUGAUUCGAGAUAUUCGAAUUCACUAUAGAUUGCACCCUUUUUGCAAUCCUCGAUGCCAGUGGAUUGCAAAAAGGGUGGUAAUACAAAGGGGCAUAGAAAGAACUGGGUAAAAUUAAGAUUUCACUGAUAUAUAAAAUUCUCGCCAAUUUCUUCCAUAUGUUUGAAAGCAUUUAAACCAAGUGUUGUGCAUAACCCUAAAAGAGAAAUAUAGAUGAGCAACAAAAGAGCAACUACGCAAUUUCAUUGAAUUAGAAAUGAAACUGGAAACAUUAACAGCAGACAAUUGAAGUAGAAAUUGUACAAAAACGAACUGCGCUCAUGAAAUGAGAUAGUACGUCCAUAAAAAGGAUUGAAUAUCCAAAAAUAUAAUACAAGAGUUUGGUAGUCAUCCUAGUUGGAAGCAUUGUGUGUGAAAUUGCCGCUACCAUCGGUUUCUAUUAUAGCUAUAGAUAUGGGAGAACGUUCUUACAAUGUCCGGCACUCGAAGUGUCGAUUUCAGACCGUUCGCGCAGCUGUCGCACUGGAAUCAGCUGUUUAUAAAUUUGCCAAAUGACAGUUCGGAGUAUUGUUCACAAGUGUACAAAAGCGUUUUGUCAAAAAACAGUGAUCAGCGAUGGAAUUCACAGCCAGCAAUUGUUCGUGAGCUCAAACAUCUUAAUGUGAAUAAAGUUUUUGUUUAUCGCACCAUCACUCGUUACUGGUAGCAUCGCAAAACGCCAUGGAGGUGGUCAUCAAAAGACUGCAACGUCACGUGAGAUGGUUCGGAAAGUGAAGAAGCGACUUGAGCGAAAUCCACGACGAAGUGCCAAUCAAGUGGCUAAAGAACUGAAAAAAUAUCCGACCGCAGCAUCCGACGCAUAUUGAAAAAUGAGCUCAAGGUCAAGCCUUACAAGUUCCAAAAGGCCCAUGAUUCCCACCGAAGCAGCAACAAGUAAGACUUGAGAGAGCGAAGCAGUUGCUUCGCUUGGCCGAAAGCGAUCAAAUUCCGAACAUUGUGUUUUCUGACGAAAAAAUUUUUCCAAUUGAGCAAUUCGUAAACUCUCAAAACGAUAGGGUUUACUUGACCGACCGUUCAUACGAGAAUCUAAGUCAUCGGUUGGCCACCAGGAAGCAGCACCCGCCACAAAUAUUGGUUGGGGCCGCAGAUGGGCGCUCUCCAAUUGUUUUCAUCGAGCCUGGCGUCAAAGUAAGUGCGACAUAUUAUCGGGAAAGUGUUCUGGAGGCUGCUUUGAAGCCGUGGGCAAACAAAUAUUUCGGUCGCAAACCAUGGACGCUUCAACAAGACUCAGCACCGUCUCACAAAGCGCGAGUGAACCAAGAAUGGCUGAAAAACAACGUUCUGAACUUCAUUACGACCACGCAAUGGCUCUCGAAUUCACCAGAUGCGAAUCCAAUGGAUUAUUCUCUCUUGGCCAUUUUGGAGAGCAAGGUCCGAAGUAAAAAAUACACCAGUCUCGAGAUGCUGAAGAAAGUCAUUGUCCGUGAGUGGGCUAAAAUACCGGCAAGUCACAUUCGGGCAUCUUGCGAUUCGUUUUUUGACCGUCUCAAGGCCAUAGUUAAGGCAAAAGGUGGUCAUAUCGAGCAAAAGUGAAUUGGUCCUGAAUUUAUGAUUAUUUUCACACAUUUUGUACUUUAAAAUAAAUAAAAAUAAUUUUCCAAACCGAA